rnacentral:rRNA from 1 species
AUUGAACGCUGGCGGCAGGCCUAACACAUGCAAGUCGAGCGAGCGGCGGACGGGUGAGUAAUGUCUGGGAAACUGCCUGAUGGAGGGGGAUAACUACUGGAAACGGUAGCUAAUACCGCAUACCAUCAGAUGUGCCCAGAUGGGAUUAGCUAGUAGGUGGGGUAACGGCUCACCUAGGCGACGAUCCCUAGCUGGUCUGAGAGGAUGACCAGCCACACUGGAACUGAGACACGGUCCAGACUCCUACGGGAGGCAGCAGUGGGGAAUAUUGCACAAUGGGCGCAAGCCUGAUGCAGCAAUGCCGCGUGUAUGAAGAAGGUCUUCGGGUUGUAAAGUACUUUAAGCGGGGAGGCGGUACCCGCAGAAGAAGCAACGGCUAACUCCGUGCCAGCCGCCGCGGUAAUUC